AUUGAACGCUGGCGGCAUGCUUUACACAUGCAAGUCGAACGGUAACAGCACUUCGGUGGCUGACGAGUGGCGAACGGGUGAGUAAUACAUCGGAACGUGCCUAGUAGUGGGGGAUAACUACUCGAAAGAGUAGCUAAUACCGCAUGAGAUCUAAGGAUGAAAGCAGGGGACCUUCGGGCCUUGCGCUACUAGAGCGGCUGAUGGCAGAUUAGGUAGUUGGUGGGAUAAAAGCUUACCAAGCCGACGAUCUGUAGCUGGUCUGAGAGGACGACCAGCCACACUGGGACUGAGACACGGCCCAGACUCCUACGGGAGGCAGCAGUGGGGAAUUUUGGACAAUGGGCGUAAGCCUGAUCCAGCAAUGCCGCGUGCAGGAUGAAGGCCUUCGGGUUGUAAACUGCUUUUGUACGGAACGAAAAGCCCUCUUCUAAUACAGGAGGGUCAUGACGGUACCGUAAGAAUAAGCACCGGCUAACUACGUG
rnacentral:rRNA from 1 species